CGCGUAGGUGGUUCUGUAUGUCUACCGUGAAAGCGUACGGCUCAACCGUAUUUUGUCGGUAGAAACUGCAGGACUUGAGGCUGGGAGGGGCUGGUGGAAUUCCCUGUGUAGCGGUGAAAUGCGUAGAGAUGGGGGAGAACACUCGUGGCGAAGGCGGCCAGCUAGACCAGUUCUGACACUGAGGCGCGACAGCGUGGGGAGCAAACAGGAUUAGAUACCCUGGUAGUCCACGCUGUAAACGAUGGGCACUAGGUGCCGGCGGUCUUGAUCCCGUCGGUGCCGGCGCUAACGCAGUAAGUGCCCCGCCUGGGGAGUACGGUCGCAAGGCUGAA
rnacentral:rRNA from 1 species